rnacentral:rRNA from 1 species
UAGGGAAUCUUCGGCAAUGGACGAAAGUCUGACCGAGCAACGCCGCGUGAGUGAAGAAGGUUUUCGGAUCGUAAAACUCUGUUGUUAGAGAAGAACAAGGACGUUAGUAACUGAACGUCCCCUGACGGUAUCUAACCAGAAAGCCACGGCUAACUACGUGCCAGCAGCCGCGGUAAUACGUAGGUGACAAGCGUUGUCCGGAUUUAUUGGGCGUAAAGCGAGCGCAGGCGGUUUCUUAAGUCUGAUGUGAAAGCCCCCGGCUCAACCGGGGAGGGUCAUUGGAAACUGGGAGACUUGAGUGCAGAAGAGGAGAGUGGAAUUCCAUGUGUAGCGGUGAAAUGCGUAGAUAUAUGGAGGAACACCAGUGGCGAAGGCGGCUCUCUGGUCUGUAACUGACGCUGAGGUUCGAAAGCGUGGGGAGCAAACAGG